AGAAGGCUAGGCUAGCCGAGCGACGGUUGUCUCGGUUUAAGCGUGUAGGGGGAGUGACCUGGUAAAUCCGGUUGCUUAUUAACCCUGAGGCGUGAUGACGAUGCACUACGGUGCAGAAGUAGUUGAUGCCAAGCUUCCAGGAAAAGCCUCUAAGCUCCAGGUAACACGAAAUCGUACCCCAAACCGACACAGGUGGUCAGGUAGAGAAUACCCAGGCGCUUGAGAGAACUCGGGUGAAGGAACUAGGCAAAAUGGUGCCGUAACUUCGGGAGAAGGCACGCUGGCGCGUAGGUGAAGUCCCUCGCGGAUGGAGCUGAAGCCAGUCGCAGAUACCAGCUGGCUGCAACUGUUUAAUAAAAACACAGCACUGUGCAAACACG
rnacentral:rRNA from 1 species